rnacentral:rRNA from 1 species
CUUAAUUCGACGCAACGCGAAGAACCUUACAGGGCUUGACAUGCAGGGAAAACGGCGGAAACGUCGUGUCCGAAAGGGCCCUGCACAGGUGCUGCAUGGCUGUCGUCAGCUCGUGUCGUGAGAUGUUGGGUUAAGUCCCGCAACGAGCGCAACCCUUAUCCCUAGUUGCCAUCAGGUAAAGCUGGGAACUCUGGGGAGACUGCCGGUGAUAACCGGAGGAAGGCGGGGAUGACGUCAAGUCCUCAUGGCCCUUACAUCCCGGGCUACACACGUGCUACAAUGGCAGGUACAGAGGGCUGCGAAGCCGCGAGGUGGAGCGAAAUCCCAGAAAACCUGUCUCAGUCCGGAUUGAAGUCUGCAACUCGACUUCAUGAAGGCGGAAUCGCUAGUAACCGCGAAUCAGCAGGUCGCGGUGAAUACGUUCCCGGGCCUU